CUGAUGGCUCUAUUUUAACAUGCAAGUCUCACUAUGACGUGUGGCGCUUGCACCGCCUGAUUAGUGGCGUACGGGUGAGUAACACGUGAGUAACCUGCCCUCCACUUCGGGAUAACCUCGGGAAAUCGUGGCUAAUACCGGAUAUGAGCACUCAUCGCAUGGUGGGUGCUGGAAAGAUUUAUCGGUGGGGGAUGGACUCGCGGCCUAUCAGUUUGUUGGUGAGGUGAUGGCUCACCAAGACGAUGACGGGUAGCCGGCCUGAGAGGGCGACCGGCCACACUGGGACUGAGACACGGCCCAGACUCCUACGGGAGGCAGCAGUGGGGAAUAUUGCACAAUGGGCGAAAGCCUGAUGCAGCGACGCCGCGUGGGGGAUGACGGCCUUCGGGUUGUAAACCCCUUUCAGUAGGGAAGAAGCGAGAGUGACGGUACCUGCAGAAGAAGCGCCGGCUAACUACGUGCCAGCAGCCGCGGUAAUACGUAGGGCGCAAGCGUUGUCCGGAAUUAUUGGGCGUAAAGAGCUUGUAGGUGGCUUGUCGCGUCUGCCGUGAAAACCCGAGGCUCAACCUCGGGCGUGCGGUGGGUACGGGCAGGCUAGAGUGUGGUAGGGGAGACUGGAACUCCUGGUGUAGCGGUGAAAUGCGCAGAUAUCAGGAAGAACACCGAUGGCGAAGGCAGGUCUCUGGGCCAUUACUGACACUGAGAAGCGAAAGCAUGGGUAGCGAACAGGAUUAGAUACCCUGGUAGUCCAUGCCGUAAACGUUGGGCACUAGGUGUGGGGGACAUUCCACGUUUUCCGCGCCG
rnacentral:rRNA from 1 species